UGGGGAAUAUUGGGCAAUGGGCGAAAGCCUUACCCAGCAACGCCGCGUGAGGGAAGAAGGUUUUCGGAUUGUAAACCUCUGUCCUGGGGGACGAAGGAAGUGACGGUACCCCGGGAGGAAGCCCCGGCUAACUACGUGCCAGCAGCCGCGGUAAUACGUAGGGGGCGAGCGUUGUCCGGAAUUAUUGGGCGUAAAGGGCGCGUAGACGGCCGAGUAAGUUAUAGGUGAAAGCCCAUCUUUCAAGGAUGGAAUUGCCUGUAAUACUGCCUGGCUUGAGUGCAGGAGAGGGAAGCGGAAUUCCUAGUGUAGCGGUGAAAUGCGUAGAUAUUAGGAGGAACACCAGUGGCGAAGGCGGCUUUCUGGACUGUAACUGACGUUGAGGCGCGAAAGCGUGGGAGCAAACAGGAUUAGAUACCC
rnacentral:rRNA from 1 species